rnacentral:rRNA from 1 species
CCUACGGGAGGCAGCAGUGAGGAAUAUUGGUCAAUGGGCGCGAACCUGAACCAGCCAAGUAGCGUGAAGGAUGACUGCCCUACGGGUUGUAAACUUCUUUUAUAAAGGAAUAAAGUGAGGCACGGGUGCCUUUUUGGAUGUACUUUAUGAAUAAGGAGCGGCUAACUCCGUGCCAGCAGCCGCGGUAAUACGGAGGAUACGAGCGUUAUCCGGAUUUAUUGGGUGUAAAGGGAGCGUAGAUGGGUUGUUAAGUCAGUUGUGAAAGUUGGGGGCUCAACCGUAAAAUUGCAAUUGAUACUGGCAGUCUUGAGUACAGUUGAGGUAGGCGGAAUUCGUGGUGUAGCGGUGAAAUGCUUAGAUAUCACGAAGAACUCCGAUUGCGAAGGCAGCUUACUAAACUGCCACUGACAUUGAUGCUCGAAAGUGUGGGUAUCAAACAGGAUUAGAUACCCUUGUAGUC